GCUUCUCUCUCUCUCUCUCUCUCUCUCUCUCUCUCUCAAAGACCGAAACCCUAGCUCUGCACAAGUAACCCACGUUUCUCACCCAUUUAUAUAUUUUUCCUCUCCAUAUUCUUUACAAAGAGGGUCGGUUUUUGGCGAUUGUUUUGGGAUGCGUCGCUGCCGCCAUAGAAGGUGGCGUGAGCACUCCACCACGGCCCGCCGGUGUGAACUCCGGGGAUUCGAGCUUCCACCACCACCGCGAGAGCCCAGACGAGACUAGCAAUGCAGAGAAAAACCCUCGAUACAUAUGUAUCUCUGCAAAUGUGUGUACAUGUAUGAGGAAUUUGGGAAUCCUAGAGGAGAGAAAGAAGAAGAAAUAGUUACAGAUCAAACAGAUCUAACAACAAUUCUUAUGCCGAACCACUCGAUUCAACAAAUCGAAAUCACGAUUCGCUCCAAAAAUUGUUCAUUUUCCCCUGGAUUUGGUACUUUAAGCCUGUUCUUCUUCGGUCUGCAACAUCUACUUUACUGGGAUUAGCAUCCUCACCAUUAUUUCCUCUGUUAAUCAACGCAUUCGUAAUGGAUUCUUGCUGUGCAACCUUGAGAGCCAAUACCCACUUGGCAAACCCAAGCAAAUGUGGUCUGAGUCAUGGUGAUAAUGGGUUUUGGGGGGAGAGGAUGAGAGGGAGUCUCAACAAGAACAGUCGUCAUUAGGUUAAUCAGUUAGCAAAAGGCUUGAGAUAUGAGAGAAAGGAGAGGAAGAUCAGACCUAGCGUUUCUUGCUCUGUUAUUACAUCAGACAAUGGCAAAGAGGCUUUGACCAUAGAUGCACCCCUGUUUGAGAGAGGAAGAG